AGUGGCGAACUGGUGAGUAACACGUGGGUAACCUGCCCCGAAGCGGGGGAUAACAUUUGGAAACAAGUGCUAAUACCGCAUAAUUAGUUGGAACCGCAUGGUUCCAACUUGAAAGAUGGCUCUGCUAUCACUUUGGGAUGGACCCGCGCCGUAUUAGUUAGUUGGUGAGAUAAAAGCCCACCAAGACGAUGAUACGUAACCGACCUGAGAGGGUAAUCGGCCACAUUGGGACUGAGACACGGCCCAGACUCCUACGGGAGGCAGCAGUAGGGAAUCUUCCACAAUGGACNAAAGUCUGAUGGAGCAACGCCGCGUGAGUGAUGAAGGUUUUCGGAUCGUAAAACUCUGUUGUUAAAGAAGAACAAGUGUUAGAGUAACUGUUAACACUUUGACGGUAUUUAACCAGAAAGCCACGGCUAACUACGUGCCAGCAGCCGCGGUAAUACGUAGGUGGCAAGCGUUGUCCGGAUUUAUUGGGCGUAAAGCGAGCGCAGGCGGUUUUGUAAGUUCUGCUGUGAAAGCCCUCAGCUCAACUGAGGAAGUGCAGUGGAAACUACAAAACUUGAGUACAGAAGAGGAAAGUGGAACUCCAUGUGUAGCGGUGAAAUGCGUAGAUAUAUGGAAGAACACCAGUGGCGAAGGCGGCUUUCUGGUCUGUUACUGACGCUGAGGCUCGAAAGCAUGGGUAGCGAACAGGAUUAGAUACCCUGGUAGUCCAUGCCGUAAACGAUGAAUACUAGGUGUUGGAGGGUUUCCGCCCUUCAGUGCCGCAGCUAACGCAUUAAGUAUUCCGCCUGGGGAGUACGACCGCAAGGUUGAAACUCAAAGGAAUUGACGGGGGCCCGCACAAGUGGUGGAGCAUGUGGUUUAAUUNGAUGNUACGCGAAGAACCUUACCAGCUCUUGACAUCUUCUGCCAACCCAAGAGAUUGGGCGUUCCCUUCGGGGACAGAAUGACAGGUGGUGCAUGGUUGUNGUCAGCUCGUGUCGUGAGAUGUUGGGUUAAGUCCCGCAACGAGCGCAACCCUUAUUAUUAGUUGCCAGCAUUUAGUUGGGCACUNUAGUGAGACUGCCGGUGAUAAACCGGAGGAAGGUGGGGACGACGUCAAAUCAUCAUGCCCCUUAUGAGCUGGGCUACACACGUGCUACAAUGGAUGGUACAACGAGUCGCGAAACCGCGAGGUCAAGCUAAUCUCUUAAAGCCAUUCUCAGUUCGGAUUGCAGGCUGCAACUCGC
rnacentral:rRNA from 2 species